rnacentral:lncRNA from 1 species
UCAAUAGCACCAGGCUUCUUCUCUUUUUCAUUCAAAACUGAAGCUGAAAAACAGAAAGUUUUAGACUCCGGGCCGUGGUCCUUCGCAAGCAACCUCCUCGUUCUUCAGCAAUGCGAUCCUGAUAUUCCAGAAAUCUGCUAUGAUUUUGAUCAUUGUCCCUUCUGGGUUACCCUAUAUGGACUUCCGUUUGGUCGAGUGACGAAGGAAAUUGUCAACGACAUAGCUUCUAAGCUUGGCAAAGUUAUAGAGAUGAAGUUGGAAGCUAAAGGAAAUAGUGCAUACAAAGUUGGCAAAGCUAGGGUGAAUCUACACUUAGGUUCCCCUCUUAAAACAGGAGUAAUUAUAAAGUUGGGAGACAAGAAACUGUGGAUAGAAUUUAAAUAUGAGCGGCUCCCACAUUACUGCUAUUCAUGUGGACGAAUCGGACACUACGCCACAGCAUGUAAAGAGAUUUCUUUUGAAACAACAAGGCGGCAAGAAGACAUACCAGGAAAUUUUGGGAAUUGGCUACGUGCUGAAGUCAGGGAUCUCAGCCCUUAUGGUAAAAUCUUUUAUGGGAAACAGAUUCACCUCCUUGAAAAUCCCGAA